AGUGAAGUCAAGUCUGGAGAGUGUGUCUGGUGUCCUAAAGAGGCCUAACGUCUACCACGCAGCCACGGAUACACAAGUCCACUACCCCCCAGGUCCAAGUCAAAACCUGUUCUUUGCCAAAAUGAACAUAUUCAAGCUGUCACUCCUGAUUCCAGAAGUUGCUGUCCUCAUCUGAAUCAAGUCGGACCCCGUUAUAUAUAAUAGAAUCCGACAGGGGCACAUCUCUGGAGGGUUCUAUAGAGUCUCUGAUUUUGAUUUAUAAGGUGCCUUCAAAGGACGAUGAACGAAGUCUCCAGCGUAAACUAGUAUAACCCCUUAUAACAAUAGUAUUACAGUCACCAGUGCCACCUGCUGUACAUGUCUAUAAGUGUCCAUGGUGCUGUUGGUCUGUAUAUAUUUGAGGACAUAUAUUGAGAAAAAGUCUAUGGGCAAAAGUCAAAAACAGUAAUAAACAAUGUCUACAGAUGCCUAAAAUUCCUUCUUAUUGUUGUAUGCAGAUAUAUCUUACAGUCUUUAUGGUUUACAGACUCCUUGUAAACCAGUGGUG